GAUGAACGCUAGCUACAGGCUUAACACAUGCAAGUCGAGGGGAAACGCCAUCGAAAGCUUGCUUUUGAUGGGCGUCGACCGGCGCACGGGUGAGUAACGCGUAUCCAACCUGCCCACCACUUGGGGAUAACCUUGCGAAAGUAAGACUAAUACCCAAUGAUAUCUCUAGAAGACAUCUGAAAGAGAUUAAAGAUUUAUCGGUGAUGGAUGGGGAUGCGUCUGAUUAGCUUGUUGGCGGGGUAACGGCCCACCAAGGCAACGAUCAGUAGGGGUUCUGAGAGGAAGGUCCCCCACAUUGGAACUGAGACACGGUCCAAACUCCUACGGGAGGCAGCAGUGAGGAAUAUUGGGCAAUGGACGAGAGUCUGAACCAGCCAAGUAGCGUGCAGGAAGACGGCCCUAUGGGUUGUAAACUGCUUUUAUAAGGGAAUAAAGUGAGUCUCGUGAGACUUUUUGCAUGUACCUUAUGAAUAAGGACCGGCUAAUUCCGUG
rnacentral:rRNA from 1 species